rnacentral:rRNA from 1 species
UGAGGAAUAUUGCACAAUGGGCGCAAGCCUGAUGCAGCAACGCCGCGUGCGGGACGACGGCCUUCGGGUUGUAAACCGCUUUUCUGAGGGACGAGCGAGGACGGUACCUUAGGAAUAAGUCUCGGCUAACUACGUGCCAGCAGCCGCGGUAAAACGUAGGAUGCGAGCGUUAUCCGGAUUUACUGGGCGUAAAGCGCGUGUAGGCGGUUCGGUAAGUUGGAUGUGAAAGCUCCCGGCUUAACUGGGAGAGGUCGUUCAAUACUGCCGGGUUGAAGGUGGGAGAAGGAGGGGGGAAUUCGGAGUGUAUGGUGGAAAGCGUAGGUAAUCCGGAGGAAAACAAGUGGGAAAAGCGCCUUCUGGGACAAUUCUGACGCUCAGACGCGAAAGCUAGGGUAGCAAACGG